GGAUGGGUGGCCGAGUGGUCGAAGGCACUGGUCUUGAAAACCAGCGUAGGGCAACCUACCGUGGGUUCGAAUCCCACCCCAUCCG
rnacentral:tRNA from 2 species